UGUAGACUGGAACAUUGAGAGUGGGACAGUGUCCAUUCAACUGCCUUGAAACUUGCCUGAAAUGUGGCUUUCUGCUUUCUCCUCCAUGUCUGAUUGUUUUCCAAGGAAAGACCAUAAUUUGGGAUAAGUUCUGCUCUCCAACAGACUUAUGUGUGGGGAUGGUAUUUCUGAGCUUGUGCGUCUGUAAGGCCAUGCACUCUACUGUGCUGAAUCCAAGAGAAGACUUCCAAGUGAUUGCCAGCGAUUGGCUGGGGAGCUUGGAGACCUGAAUCAAAACCUGAAGCUGUCAACUUGCUGAAGUAGUGUCUACACAAAGCUGGACUGCAUCAACAGUUCCCCGUUUUCAGCUGCUCUGUGGCUGAAGGAAGCUGAGUGCUGCAGGAAUCUGGGUGGCAACUUUGGACCCCUAAGCUUUAUCCAGGGAUUUCUCAACAUCGCCUGCCCAGUUUACUAAGCUAGGAGCUGUGCUUAGACCAGAAGCAGGGACCCACCCUGGACCUAGCAACAUCAAAUGGAGUUACUGCCCUUUGCUGUCACCUGUGCUUGCCACCAGAUGUGAUGCAAGAGGAGCCACAAAUGACUUCUGUGAUGCUUUCAGGCCAAAGAGAAGGUCAUGGCCUAAAAGUGGUAACCUUCCAGAAGAGACUCUGGGUUUGCCUGUGGUAAAAUGCAAUGAUGAGCGUCAUGGGGAAAGGUAUGUGAUGGUGUAAUAUCUGCCCGUGUAAUGGAAGGCUGGAUGGGUACAAGCAAUGAAAUUGGAAAUCAAUCCCCAAUCCUGACGAAUCCAGGAGACCUUCACACCCAUGAAGGCACUGCUGCUGAGUCGGGCCAAUGGCUGUGUGCACACCCAAGAAAUACACACGUGCUGAUAGAAAACAGAUUUAAAAGGUACCUAAAAUAAUAGCUUUUUAAGACAGUCUUACGGUCACAUAACUUGUUGGGAAAAGCAUACCAUGGCUCCCAGUCUGAAUUAAACAUUGUCAUUGUGGUAUAGAAGAAGGUGCAUGCUCAAGAGUUGUUAUUUGACUGGGUAGCUGAAGACAGCAAGUCACUGACAGAGCAGCAGGAAUUAUCAGAAGAUGAGGAUCUGCCACCCUGUUUCUUUUGUGCUAACCACCAACAGCUGGAGACCAGGCCGAAGAGAGAGAAGAGAAGCACGUCUCAAGGAAGCAUGUGCUUAAGCAUGAAGAUGAACAAAGCUUCCAGGGGAAAGCUAUUCAGAUCAACUAUGGCUAUACCACAUCCAUGUCUAUCCAUCGUACUUUCCAAAUAUUUUGAUAAAAUCAAAGAGAGCCAUUGAGAUAAAGUUUAAAGGGAAGAGCUUUCUGGUGAAUAACUCAAAAUUAACAGGCUCUUCCUGCUGUGCAAGGCAGUGACAAGCUGAAGAUGGAGCUUGCACAUCGUAGGAGCAGAACGUAAGGAUUCCGCCAGGUUUUAAUGCAUACCGGCUAU